AAAUGUAUAAAGUUGCAAUCAGAUAUUCAACUCAAAGAAAAAUUUGAUACUGUCUCUUUAACCAGACGUUUAUAAGCCUUCUUAUCAGAGAGAAACACCCCUCACUUCACAAUCACACCUUAUUCAUGUCAUCACUUUUUGGCAGUAUGUACAUUUGUGAACAACUAUUUUCAAGGAUGAAUCACAGGAAGAGUAAAAUUUCAUCAGAAUCUCUGAUGAACACCUUGAGAGCUCAUUAACAAUUGCAGCCUCUUCCACUGAACAAAACUGAUGCAUUAUUUUCACAAAAACAAGAUGAUUUUGAAUUAUUGAAACUUCAAUCAAGCCCAAUUGUAAUACUUGACCUUACAGUGGACCAGAAGAAACCCAGAUCAGAGCACAGCCAAGAAUUUAAGAAAGAUAAAAGAGCAUUGAGAUGGCUAGAUGAUCACUUGGCUCUGGAAAUUUGACGUAUGAAGAGAACAGUAGUGUGAAGCCAUACAAACAGUGGGCAAAGCUGACAGAGAGGCUGGGGUGGCAGAACUGAAGUUGGCGGUACUGCUGCCAGGUGCACGGCACACUGAUCCUGCAGUAUGAAAGCAUCAAAGAGAUGUGACGCUCACUAUGCUUUCCUGCUUUUUUGCUUUCUCUAUGGAAAAAAAACCCAAAAAUAUGUGCUGGAAAAGGAAAGCCCGGUAUGCUGGAAAGGAGCAGCUGAGGUGGUAACUGUAGUGCUUUGGACAAGCAGUCAUCUCUUGUUGUGGAGACUGCCGUGGCUUGGCACUGGAAGGAAGGAAGGUCUUGUUGGCACCAGGUGGGGACACCGAGACACAGGGCUGCAGCAUGAUUAGCCCCAUGGUUUUCAGCAAAGCAUGAGGACAGCAUGUGGCUGCACCAGUAGUGAGGACCUUCUGGUCUCUUCUUUGCUACCAUCUUGCAACCCUUCCCAAAGCGUGCUGCAGGCCCAGCUCCAAUGCUUCAUCAAGAUCCAGGAACUCCCAGAGCUGCCCACGGUCAUGUCACACAGGUUUACACAGGCUUUCCUGGCCUUGCUGCAAUGAGCAGGACUGAAGUGGAAAGUGAUGAGCCUGCUGAGGUCGUCUGGAUGCAGUGAUGUGAAGAGGCAGUAGUUUUCCAGGCUGAUAUUCAGUCUGGAGCCGUAGCACUGAUGCUCCAAGACUGUCACUUCUUUGUGAAACUAUGACUGCUAAAAAGAAACAUUUAUUUUCUUCAUUUGCAAGGCUGUGAAAACACACUCACCUUCCUGCGGACGUGUGCGGAGCAGAGGUGUCAGCUCACCCCAUGCAGCCUGAUGUGGACUACGUCAGUGUGGUCACCCACCCCCUGGAUGAGGUAGUCCUGGCUCCUUCGGGUCAGGCCUCGCAGUACAAAGGCUGCAGAGCUGCAGAAAGGGAGAAGACAAGGAGGGCUGCGCCUGGCCUUUAUCUCUUGCAUGCUUUGGCCCCAUGAAGAACUCCAGCAUGUCUGCCUGGUGAACAACGAGUUGAAUGCCUGGUGAUGUCCAGUGAGUCAGGAACAACCCACAUUGAGGUUAGACAUCAACACAGAGCAAGACACCUUCUCCAGCUCUGCAAGAACCGGGAAUUGAGUUGGGGGAAUCUCUCUUUCACCUGUCUGCCAAAAUCCCCUUGUUAAAAUAAG
ensembl:lncRNA